GAUGAAGUGUUUAUAAGUCAUCCCAAGGAAGAAACAAUUCAGAUGAGAACUAUUCAAUGGAUUUGCAAUAACAAUCCAAAGAUGGAAGAAAACACUUCUAGGUAGACAAAAUUGCAAGUAUAGAGAAUCUAAAUUAAGAGAGAGCUUAGCUUUCAGAUGAAUUAAAAGAUUGUGGUGAUCAGAAUGUAGAGAUUGACAAGAGACAAAUGAAAUAAAACUAGAAGGACAAGUAGAGAUUUGUGGGUCGCACUGAUACUGUUCUGAACAUUUUCUUACACAUGGAAAUUUAAUGAUUAUGGCUAUUGAAAAAUGUAACUCUUCAUUUAUAUUUUUCCGAGAAUGAAAUCGGUGGACUUGCUGGGGGGUGAAAAUGUCCAAUGCAAAACAGGAGGCUAAUUUAAGAAGAUACUGCAAAAUUGGUCAUGAUGGCUCAAACUGCUGUUCAUAAUAGAGAGAAGAAAAUGGAUAGAGUUACAUAUGGAUGAGAGUAAAUUGACAAGGCUAAAUGCUAAAAUGUGG
rnacentral:lncRNA from 1 species